UUAUGGCCAUAUCACGUUGAAACCCCGGUUACCGUACGAUCACCGUAGAUAAACUACAACGAGUCUGGUCAGUAACCAGAUGAGUGACCGCUUGGGAAUACCAGGUGCUGUAAG